AGAGUUUGAUCAUGGCUCAGGAUGAACGCUGGCGGCGUGCUUAAGACAUGCAAGUCGAGUGGGUUUAGACCCACGGCGAACGGGUGAGUAAUACCUAGGAACGUACCUUUAGUUGAGCAUAUCCUCCCGAAAGGGAGAGCAAUUCUCAAUGUGGCAGUAAUGCUAAAGUCGCAAGACGCUAAAGAAACGGCCUGGGCACCAUCAGCUAGUUGGUAGGGUAAUGGCCUACCAAGGCAAUGACGGUUAGGGGACCCGAGAGGGCGAACCCCCACACUGGGACUGCGACACGGCCCAGACUCCUACGGGAGGCAGCAGUUUGGAAUAUUGGACAAUGGGCGAAAGCCUGAUCCAGCGACGCCGCGUGGACGAUGACGGCCUUCGGGUUGUAAAGUCCUUUUAGUAGGGAACAAUAUAUUGAGCGUACCUACAGAAUAAGAGGUUGCUAACUCUGUGCCAGCAGCAGCGGUAAUACAGAGACCUCAAGCGUUAUCCGGAAUUAUUGGGCGUAAAGCGUACCGACAGGUGGUUAAACAAGCCAAGCGUGAAAUACCCGGGCUCAACCCGGGGACUGUCGUUUGGGACUGUUUGACUAGAGGGGCAAAGAGGAAGCUGGAACCAGCGGUGUAGUAGUGAAAUGCGUUGAUAUCGCUGGGAACACCGAUAGCGAAGGCGGGCUUCUGGGUGCCACCUGACACUGCUAGGACGAAAGCGUGGGGAGCGAAUGGGAUUAGAUACCCUAGUAGUCC
rnacentral:rRNA from 1 species